GGGCAUUAGCCCACAGUCAGCACUCAGCCAGAAUGUCUGCAUAGAGAACAAAGCGGAUUGCCUCGACAAUGGCUGUAUUCUGGGCACGUUGCUAAUGCAGGUAAACACGGCAGGGCCGGGCCUCACUUCUCUGGGGCAAGAAACACCCAAGGACUGGAAGCCACGAGGGCCUCUGAUUGCGUCGUCCACCCGUGCCCUCUUCUGGACGGUUCCCUUCACAAAGAGGAAGCCCAUGAAUGGCCUUUGGUGACCUGAGAAGUGUCAGCCUGCCUUCUUCACGGAGCUCGAGAAUUAGCACGUGCUGAAGGCCAGCAAGCCGAAUCAAAGAAAUUGUCCACUUGGAAGGCACAGGUGCAUUUUCCCAAGGAGGCGUGGUACAGAAUGGUUCCAUCCCUAUGGAGAGAGAAGGGUCAAGAAGAUGGAACAUGACAUCCAGAAGCAGGUGGCUAGAGGAGCUCUACAAGGCACCAUCCAGGAAAGGAACAAGGCAAAGAUUGAGGUGCAGGAGCAUCUUGAGGAGGCCAUGGGCUGGAUUCCACCCUCUGCUGCUCCCCAGCUCAAUGACAUCAGCCCAGCAACUCUGUAGGCCACGGUUUUCUUGGGAUGAUGAAACACCACUCUCAGGAUUCAGGAGUGACUUAAAUGAGUUCAGGAAAAAGCUACUUAGCACACCUCCUGCUUCAAGAGAGAGAACGCCUGACGCUCCAACAUAUCCGGUGCCAACCAACAGGCAGCGUUGGCCACCGGCUCCGACGCAUCAAUCCCCUCUCCUCACAAUCGCUCAAAGAAAAGCUUGUCUUCUGCACGGUACAUUAGGCAACUGCAGAAGAAGAUACGAGAAGCUUUGAAAUGCAUUUCCCAAACCGUUCCACAUGAUGUUCCUGGAUGUUUGGUUAAUAAAAUAUUCCAUGGUCAAAUAA
rnacentral:lncRNA from 12 species